rnacentral:rRNA from 1 species
AUUGAACGCUGGCGGCAUGCCUUACACAUGCAAGUCGAACGGUAACGGGCCUUCGGGUGCCGACGAGUGGCGAACGGGUGAGUAAUGUAUCGGAACGUACCUUUCAGUGGGGGAUAACGUAGCGAAAGUUACGCUAAUACCGCAUAUUCUGUGAGCAGGAAAGCAGGGGAUCGCAAGCCCUUGCGCUUAUUGAGCGGAUGAUAUCAGAUUAGCUAGUUGGUGAGGUAAAGGCUCACCAAGGGGACGAUCUGUAGAGGGUCUGAGAGGCUGAUCCGCCACACUGGAACUGAGACACGGUCCAGAAUCCUACGGGAGGCAGCAGUGGGGAAUUUUGGACAAUGGGGGCAACCCUGAUCCAGCCAUGCCGCGUGAGUGAAGAAGGCCUUCGGGUUGUAAAGCUCUUUCGGCCGGGAAGAAAUCGUAUGGGUUAAUACCCUGUGCGGAUGACGGUACCGGCAUAAGAAGCACCGGCUAACUACGUGCCAGCAGCCGCGGUAAUAC